GGGGCACUGCACCGAAACACUGCAGGUAGGCUCAGGUCAUGCUUGUUAUAACACACACCAAGUUUGGUGUCAAUAUGACAAACUGUUACGGAGAUAUAGCCUCACAUUGAUUUUUGCUAGCUUUUCGUAGAAUUCUUUCGCGUGUUAUUCGUGAACGGCUGGACGAAUCGACUUGAAUUCCAUAACUUUUUGCCAGCGUGGUCUGAAGAUGAUCUGGAUCAAUUUUUGUGACAAUCGGUGCAACGGCCUAGGACGAGUUCGAAAAAGUAGGUUUUACGAACAAUUGAGAAUAGCGAAAAAACUAAACCUUAC